GUACUCAUUUUGUUAGCACAUAUAAUAAAAUUGAUUACAGAGAAUAUUAACAUGGUCCUUACACAAGGAGGAGAUGCAAAUUCGUGAAACAUUCCAUACUUUU